rnacentral:lncRNA from 1 species
GCCUGUUAAUGUUCCUCACAUGCCCUGGGGUACAGUGCACACAGAACAUCUUACAGCACCUCAGAGUCAGUGAGGGACCAGAUCCUUUAACCCAUUAGUCUAUGUUCAAAGCAAAAGGCAUCGAACACACUGAGUAUAGAGAUGAUGAGUCUGUAAAAGCUGAGUUGAUACAGAAUCUUAUGGCCCAAGUCUCAAGGCCAUUAACAAACCCUACAUAAAUUCCUAAGUAGUUAAAUUUAGUGUCUACCCCAGAGAACUACAUAUUCCUCAGUGUAUCAAUUUCUUUGCCAUGAUCGAUGAUUGCCAUUAAGAGUAAAAGGUCUUUAUCAUAGGUUGAAUGUGAUAUGUCCUGUGCUGUCUCAUGUGUUUAGACAUUUGGUCCCCUUAGGCAGCCUUGUUUGAGUAGUUAAGAAACCCUUGGAUGUGUGUCCUGCUGGGAGACACUGGGUCCUUAGGAGACCUGGGAAACUGUUUAUGCAUCGAAACCAGUUGUCUCACUCUCUGCUGCCAGUCCCAGUGGAUGAGCCCUUCAUCAUGCUGUGCCUGAAUCUCUGAAAGCCUGAGCCAAAACAACCUCCGUCCCUUAUAAGUUGUUUCAAGCCAUAGAUUUGGGAGGAUCCAUGAAAAGCCCUUGAGAGUAGAAAUGUGUUUUGGCUAGCUGUGAUUGGUCCAUAACUCCCAUGACCUCACAAAUAGCCAUUGUGAGAAGUAUAUUCACUCACCCAUGUAAGACAACAGCUGUGACUGGAUCUUGUCCUUAUACUGCAGUAAAAAUGAGCUGUAUGUUGGCUAAGAGCAGUCAGACUCAGCAUUGUGUUCUGAGAGUUUUAUAUUGUUCAUCUUUGGAAUUGAACAUCUGUGAUCCCAACUGACAAGAACUUAGAUAUUGUGGUGGUACCAUUCUCCUCCUUUUGAAGUGAAGGACAUGGCAGACAAAUUUUUGUGGGCACAUCUCAGUGAUACAAAUUUACCAUCAGCAUCUAGUGAAACAUUCACAGAUCUGAGUGAUGCAAAUUUACCAUCAGCAUUCAGUGAAACAGGCACAGAUCUGAGUGAUGCAAAUUUACCAACAUCAUUCAGUGAAACAGGGUGGUCCAUCUCCAGUCUGGUGAACACUGUGUGUUCCCUGAGCCACAUGAUAGAGGAAAACUUGGACAGGGCAAGAACAACUCACUUUAGAGAUACCCUGGCGAAAAACGAUGUACUAUUCAAGAAGAAAAGCCAUUACCAUCCUGGACAAAUAGUACAUCUUCGAAAGAGACACUCUGUCAAGUCACCUGCAUGUCGUAUCAUCCUCCCUCCAUUUCCCUUAAAGAGGAGAUGGAGUGAAUUGGCUCUGCCCACAUUCAUGAUGACCUCAAAAAAAGGCAACAUUGUGCAGCAGGGUGAUUGUGUGAAUGUAGUGAAUACAAAUGCGAUAGAGACAGAGGCUACUGAUUUGCUCGCUGAAACAUUCAAGGGGACAAAAAAGAAGGCUGAGAUUGAGGACAUGGGAAUUAACAUCCCGUUUAGUCUCACACCUCUGGACGUGUUGUCCUUCUUAGAGGACACCACAAACAAACGGAACCCUGGAUGUUCCAUCCUCGAGUUACCAUCUACCAAGGCCCAUUUCCGGGAGGCACCCACAGCCCCGAACAGAAACAACAGAAGGCUGUGGAAGUGGGUGAGGAGGCAGAUUAGUCACCCGUUUAGGAGGUUGUUUCUCUGCUUCCCCACUCGAAGUAGAAGACACACAUCAUCCAGGAUUGAUCAUUGGGCCCAGGCCCGUGGUUCCUAA